AACACAUGCAAGUCGAACGAUGAACCACUCGUGGGGAUUAGUGGCGAACGGGUGAGUAACACGUGGGCAAUCUGCCCUGCACGUCUGGGACAAGCCCUGGAAACGGGGUCUAAUACCGGAUACUGAUCAUCUUGGGCAUCCUUGGUGAUCGAAAGCUCCGGCGGUGCAGGAUGAGCCCGCGGCCUAUCAGCUUGUUGGUGAGGUAACGGCUCACCAAGGCGACGACGGGUAGCCGGCCUGAGAGGGCGACCGGCCACACUGGGACUGAGACACGGCCCAGACUCCUACGGGAGGCAGCAGUGGGGAAUAUUGCACAAUGGGCGAAAGCCUGAUGCAGCCGACGCCGCGUGAGGGAUGACGGCCUUCGGGUUGUAAACCUCUUUCAGCAGGGAAGAAGCGAAAGUGACGGUACCUGCAGAAGAAGCGCCGGCUAACUACGUGCCAGCAGCCGC
rnacentral:rRNA from 1 species